rnacentral:rRNA from 1 species
CCUACGGUCAGCUGCAGUGGGGAAUAUUGGACAAUGGGCGAAAGCCUGAUCCAGCCAUGCCGCGUGUGUGAAGAAGGCCUUCGGGUUGUAAAGCACUUUCAGUGGGGAAGAAAGCCUUGGGGCUAAUACCCUCGAGGAAGGACAUCACCCACAGAAGAAGCACCGGCUAACUCCGUGCCAGCAGCCGCGGUAAUACGGAGGGUGCGAGCGUUAAUCGGAAUUACUGGGCGUAAAGCGCGCGUAGGCGGUCUGAUAAGCCGGUUGUGAAAGCCCCGGGCUCAACCUGGGAACGGCAUCCGGAACUGUCAGGCUAGAGUGCAGGAGAGGAAGGUAGAAUUCCCGGUGUAGCGGUGAAAUGCGUAGAGAUCGGGAGGAAUACCAGUGGCGAAGGCGGCCUUCUGGACUGACACUGACGCUGAGGUGCGAAAGCGUGGGUAGCAAACAGGAUUAGAUACCCCAGUAGUC